rnacentral:lncRNA from 1 species
GCCCUUAAAUUCUUUUGUGAUCCAAUCUAACAGCACCCGCCGGCUGAGGCUGCAGACCACAAUGGAGAUGUCCUUCCACUACUUCUGAGAUUCAGCCAUCUCCUCCUCAAAAAACUCAAGGAACUUCAUGAAGUACUUCUAUAGUUGCUCCAACUCCAUCGGUGAGAUCUUGUGCUCCAUCCAAUGGGGCUGCCGUGGUGGCCUCUCC